ACGGGGUGCAGCAGGCGCGAAACCUUCACAAUGUGCGAAAGCGCGAUGAGGGGAUCCCAAGUGCUUGCUCGUAAGAGUAAGCUGUUUUUAUGUCUAAAAAGCAUAGAGAGUAAGGGCUGGGUAAGACGGGUGCCAGCCGCCGCGGUAAUACCUGCAGCUCAAGUAGUGACCACUAUUAUUGGGCCUAAAACGUUCGUAGCCGGUUUGAUAAAUGCCUGGGUAAAUAGUGUAGCUUAACUAUACGAAUUCCGGGUAGACUGUUAAACUUGAGACCGGGAGAGGCUAGAGGUACUCCUGGGGUAGAGGUGAAAUUCUGUAAUCCUGGGGGGACCACCAGUGGCGAAGGCGUCUAGCUAGAACGGGUCUGACGGUGAGGAACGAAGCCCUGGGGCGCGAACCGGAUUAGAUACCCGGGUAGUCUCAGGGUGUAAACGCUGCUUGCUUGAUGUUAGUUGGGCUCCGAGCCCAAUUAGUGUCGGAGAGAAGUUGUUAAGCAAGCUGCCUGGAAGUA
rnacentral:rRNA from 1 species